rnacentral:rRNA from 1 species
GAUGAACGCUGGCGGCGUGCCUAAUACAUGCAAGUCGAGCGAACAGACGAGGAGCUUGCUCCUCUGACGUUAGCGGCGGACGGGUGAGUAACACGUGGAUAACCUACCUAUAAGACUGGGAUAACUUCGGGAAACCGGAGCUAAUACCGGAUAAUAUAUUGAACCGCAUGGUUCAAUAGUGAAAGACGGUUUUGCUGUCACUUAUAGAUGGAUCCGCGCCGCAUUAGCUAGUUGGUAAGGUAACGGCUUACCAAGGCAACGAUGCGUAGCCGACCUGAGAGGGUGAUCGGCCACACUGGAACUGAGACACGGUCCAGACUCCUACGGGAGGCAGCAGUAGGGAAUCUUCCGCAAUGGGCGAAAGCCUGACGGAGCAAUGCCGCGUGAGUGAUGAAGGUCUUCGCAUCGUAAAACUCUGUUAUUAGGGAAGAACAAAUGUGUAAGUAACUAUGCACGUCUUGACGGUACCUAAUCAGAAAGCCACGGCUAACUACGUG